rfam:Pyramidobacter piscolens W5455 contig00256, whole genome shotgun sequence.
AGCAGAGUAAAAACCGAUGCGUCAAGUGCCGGCUGAACGGGGAGUUGACAGCUGGACGAAGAGCCUCCGGGCUUGCGGUGUCGGGUUUUGCAUCCCGCUGCU